rnacentral:rRNA from 1 species
UGGUAAGGUAACGGCUUACCAAGGCGACGAUCUCUAGCUGUUCUGAGAGGAAGAUCAGCCACACUGGGACUGAGACACGGCCCAGACUCCUACGGGAGGCAGCAGUGGGGAAUAUUGCACAAUGGGGGAAACCCUGAUGCAACCAUGCCGCGUGUGUGAAGAAGGCCUUCGGAUUGUAAAGCACUUUCAGUUGUGAGGAAAAGUUAGUAGAUAAUACCUGCUAGCCGUGACGUUAACAACACAAGAAGCACCGGCUAACUCCGUGCCAGCAGCCGCGGUAAUACGGAGGGUGCGAGCGUUAAUCGGAAUUACUGGGCGUAAAGCGCACGCAGGCGGUUUGUUAAGCUAGAUGUGAAAGCCCCGGGCUCAACCUGGGAUGGUCAUUUAGAACUGGCACACUAGAGUCUUGGAUAGGGGAGUGGAAUUCCAAGUGUAGCGGUGAAAUGCGUAUAUAUCUGGAGG